CAGCAGUUGAAACGGCACGUCCUUUUGAACUCAAUAAACGUCUGUAGUCAGUCACAUCAGGUUUCUUUUUUUUUUCCAAAACUAAAAGAGCCAUAAAUAACGACCAACAUUGGUAGUGCCAGAUUGUGAAGCAGAGAAGAAAUCAAUCCUUGCUGUUGUUCCUCGACGAUGAGUCUUGUGCCAUGUAUCCUACAUUGGGAUGCUAGUCUUUCCUGAGAGCUGGAAUUCAAACUGUAGUAGUUUGAAAGGCUUAAUAACAUCAGGGUGUUCAAGUGCACCAUUGUAUGAAAGUGCCAGAAAAGCAGAACAGGCAGGGAGGCAACAAAGGCAGCCAGCAUAUUCCAAAGCACGUGACGCUGGAGGGACAAUAUCACCGUCCACCCACACCACAAAAAGCUUCCUUAGGAAUCCAGGGUGGAACUAUAUGUAAAUCCAGCAGAGGAGUAAGGACGCCCUCUAGAUUUCCAAACAUGGAGGACAGGCCGAGACAGAAGAGCGUGACAAAAAAGAGGACCGCCCACACCUGCGAGGCCGGCAUUUCAAUCACUGCCUCAGUGAAUAAAAUAAAUGCCAGUCCAGUUCCUGAGGCGCUCUAAAGUAUGAUUCAGGUUUACUGGGCAGUCCCUCCAGGGAAGUGGACUCUGAAAGGAAUGGAAGAAGUACCACAGGAUCCAGGCCAAGAUCAUGUUGUAAAACAGUCCAACCAGGAAGGACACCAACAUCGAAGCCACGCCUGUUUUUAAAAAUUCACCAUUAAAAGUUAAUAGAAAUUCUGGAGUCCAGUGGUGUUAAGUAUGACACAAGAUUACUAAUUUUUGACCAUUUUGCAUACCAGACAUUCUCACCUACACCUCCCUGAUAUGGGGAGAUUGAACUCCACACUCCAACGCUUCCCAUGCGUAGCCGCUGUCCAAUGGCCAGUUCCAUGUGCAGCAGGGGAAGUCCCUCAAACACCAAGGCAAUGACAUAAGGAAUCAGAAAUGCCCCUGUAAUUGAUAAGUGGCAAAAUUGCUGUAAUUAGUGAAAAUUACAAACUUACAAAAUAACAAAAAAAAGGUUGGUUUGAUGGUUGAAGGACAUUUAGCUUUUGACAUUUUGUUAUCAGCAGGCGGACCUUUAUCAUGCUCACCUGCACCAGGCAACAGAUCUUAACACCACAUACAGUUGAAGUAUUUCCCCUAAAUAUUUGACUACUAUAAAGUAUGUUCGUGGCACCACCGGUGUUGUAAGGACAUUUUAUCCACAUUAUUUAUGUGUGUUUAUUUUCCCAGUAGGAAUUGUUCUUUUUUAGAGUUUAGAUUAUAGUGAGAUUUAUGUAACAUAUUAAAAUUUACAGUCAUGUUGAAAAAAAUGUCUUCAGAAACUUUAAUCAUUCUCUUCUGGAAAUUUAGAUCAUGAAAAUUAUUUUAAUAUAUUAUCACUGCAACCAAGUCAUUGUGUGUAUUCAAUUGUUAACACAGUGAGAGCAUAUGAAAUAAGACCUAUGUGGAAGCUGAAACCAGAAACCUGUCAGUAUAAAUUAUUUUUAAUACAUGCAUUGUUACUUUAUUAAAAUUUAAAAGUGUAAAAGUAGUAACAUUUAAGAGCAAUGACAAUUUUUG